UACGGAGGGGGCUAGCGUUUGUUCGGAAUUACUGGGCGUAAAGCGCACGUAGGCGGCUUUGCAAGUCAGAGGUGAAAGCCCGGGGCUCAACCCCGGAAUUGCCUUUGAUACUGCAUGGCUUGAAUCCAGGAGAGGUGAGUGGAAUUCCGAGUGUAGAGGUGAAAUUCGUAGAUAUUCGGAAGAACACCAGUGGCGAAGGCGGCUCACUGGACUGGUAUUGACGCUGAGGUGCGAAAGCGUGGGGAGCAAACAGG
rnacentral:rRNA from 1 species